rnacentral:rRNA from 1 species
CUCUUGACAUCCAGAGAAUUUAGCAGAGAUGCUUUAGUGCCUUCGGGAACUCUGAGACAGGUGCUGCAUGGCUGUCGUCAGCUCGUGUUGUGAAAUGGUUGGGUUAAGUCCCGCAACGAGCGCAACCCUUAUCCUUUGUUGCCAGCACGUAAUGGUGGGAACUCAAAGGAGACUGCCGGUGAUAAACCGGAGGAAGGUGGGGAUGACGUCAAGUCAUCAUGGCCCUUACGAGUAGGGCUACACACGUGCUACAAUGGCGUAUACAAAGAGAAGCGACCUCGCGAGAGCAAGCGGACCUCAUAAAGUGCGUCGUAGUCCGGAUUGGAGUCUGCAACUCGACUCCAUGAAGUCGGAAUCGCUAGUAAUCGUAAAUCAGAAUGUUACGGUGAAUACGUUCCCGGGCCUUGUACACACCGCCCGUCACACCGUGGGAGUGGGUUGCAAAAGAAGUAGAUAGCUUAACCUUCGGGAGGGCGUUUACCACUUUGUGAUUCAUGACUGGGGUGAAGUCGUAACAAGGUAAGCGUAGUGCU